rnacentral:rRNA from 1 species
UACGAAGGGGGCUAGCGUUGUUCGGAAUAACUGGGCGUAAAGCGCACGUAGGCGGAAUGUUAAGUGAGGGGUGAAAUCCCGGGGCUCAACCCCGGAACUGCCUUUCAUACUGGCAAUCUAGAGAUCGAGAGAGGUGAGUGGAAUUCCGAGUGUAGAGGUGAAAUUCGUAGAUAUUCGGAGGAACACCAGUGGCGAAGGCGGCUCACUGGCUCGAUACUGACGCUUGAGGUGACGAAAGGCGUGGGAGUCAAACAGGAUUAGAUACCCGUAGUC